rnacentral:rRNA from 1 species
AUUGAACGCUGGCGGCAGGCCUAACACAUGCAAGUCGAGCGGUUGAGGUAGCUUGCUACCGAUACAGCGGCGGACGGGUGAGUAAUACAUGGGAAUCUGCCUGGUAGUGGGGGACAACGUUUCGAAAGGAACGCUAAUACCGCAUACGCCCUACGGGGGAAAGGGGGGGAUCUUCGGACCUCUCGCUAUCAGAUGAGCCCAUGUCAGAUUAGCUUGUUGGUGAGGUAAAGGCACACCAAGGCGACGAUCUGUAACUGGUCUGAGAGGAUGAUCAGUCACACUGGAACUGAGACACGGUCCAGACUCCUACGGGAGGCAGCAGUGGGGAAGAUUGGACAAUGGGCGCAAGCCUGAUCCAGCCAUGCCGCGUGUGUGAAGAAGGCCUUAGGGUUGUAAAGCACUUUCAGUGGGGAGAAAGGCCUUUUACUUAAUACGUAAGAGGAUUGAUGUUACCCACAGAAGAAGCACCGGCUAACUCCGUGCCAGCAGCCGCGGUAA